AGAGGGCAGCUCUACGCUUAGCACUAACUUUAUGUAAAUUUAUGUAAAUUUUAUGUAAAUUCGGUGAUUAUAUAGUUUGAGGUGUUCCCCGUUGAUUUCGUUGAUUUUUGGAUAUGUUGUCAUAUAUAAGUGUCACUAUUUCUUAGAUUCUGAGGUAACCGUAAAAAACUUUUCAGUUGAAUCGAAACGAUACGUUCCGAUUGCGAAAUAUACUUAUAUCAAUUCUCUUGGAAGGGAGGUCUCUGGCUUAUUACAAAUAACAUUGCCCGAUGAUAUUAAUAAUGUUCUCGUUUAUUUGUAAUAAAUAAAGUACAAAGAUACAAGUACAGAUUUCCGAAAACUGCGAUGACGAGUUUGUUCAAACGAUUCAAAUACGAAUUUCUUGAUUUAUACGGUGACGAGAAAUCAAUCGAUCGGUACAGCUCAGACGAAAGUUGUUCAAUACCGAGGAGGACAUCAUGUGGUGGAACUUUUUACUUUUCCUGGUGAACACUGCAAGGUGAGGUGAAGGUCAACUUUCUUUGUUUAAAUGGAAUGAUACGUUUUUUAUCCACCAUCAAAUAGUGCGUUUUAAGACGAAUUCAACGACCUAUGACUCAAGAAUUCAAAGAACCUUGGACAAAACUGUCCAGUGUAGAUAAAAAAUACAAACAUCGACAAAACAUCAACAGAUACUGGUGGCAGUAGCUUAUAAAAUGCGAAAACUCGGUAGUAUAGUGGUCAGUAUCCCAUUCGGCCGCUGACUAUCAUAGAAGACGAACAUACCUACGAGUUCUCUAACGGUGUCCCUUAGUGCCUCGCGCAGUGCAUACUGCUUGAUUUUAAAUUCCAAAAUCGUUACACACACAAAAAACAAUGGUAAUUCAUACUAAAUAUACUAAAAAAAUAUACAUCAUACUAAAAAAAGGGGAUAAAACACCAAUCACUGAUGUCAGUGCGGAUAAAGAAAAUCAGUGCGAACAAGCAUCCUCAAAAAACAGCCAAAAAAGUGAAUUCUUAAUGUCCAACAACCAGGCAUUACAAAAAUUAAUACAAGAAGAAAAAUACGCGGAAUGGAACAGUGCCACGCUUACGCGACAAAUAAAACAUAUCAUCUCAACCAACAAACGAAUUAAAAGACUACAGUCAACACCUAACACAGCAGCAAAAAGAAAAAAAGAGAAAUUACCAAACACGGAAGACAUUAUGGUAGCCAGAACGACGAAACAAACGAAGGCUUACCAAUAAAAGGUAAACAGUAGAACGACAUCUACGACACUCUCAUACGAAGACCUAUUAACCGUUUGAGUCCCACGCGCUGCUUUCGCGCUCUUCAGAUUUCAUAUCGAAAAACCCAGCGCAUUUGAACGAUACAGACAACUGACGGCGCAUUCACAAUCUGACGAAACGCGUUCAACUUUUCAGACGCAUGUACGUCGC